rnacentral:rRNA from 1 species
UGGGGAAUAUUGCACAAUGGGCGGAAGUUUGAUGCAGCGACGCCGCGUGGAGGGUGUAGGCCUUCGGGUUGUGAACUCCUUUUUCUCGCGAAAAAGGCACAGUUUUGGCUGUGUUGAUGGUAGUGGGGGAAGAAGCGCCGGCUAACUACGUGCCAGCAGCGGCGGUGAUACGGAGGGCGCGCGGGGUGUCCGGAUGUAUUGGGCGUAAAGUGCGCGUAGGUGGUUCGUCGCGUCUGUCGUGAAAGCCAGCAGCUUAACUGUAGGUCUGCGGUGGGUACGGGCGGGCUUGAGUGCGGUAGGGGUGACUGGAAUUGCUGGUGUAGCGGUGGAAUGCGCAGAUAUCAGGAAGAACAACGAUGGCGAAGGCAGGUCACUGGGCCGUUACUGACACUGAGGAGCGAAAGCGUGGGGAGCGAACAGG